GAAGAAGAAGAAGAAGAAGAAGAAGAAGAAGAAGAAGAAGAAGAAGAAGAAGAAGAAGAAGAAGCAGCAGUAGUAGAAGCACCAACUCACCUCAUGGAUGCUCCUCCCCAUGUAGCUAAUGUACUGCAGGAACACAGGGAAUCGAGAGGAACUCAAUGCAUCGUUUCCGUUGGAUACCUGCCCACAAGCGCUUGUGUGUAUGGAUUUACUUGAACUGUAUGAUAGGAUAAUCCCACUGGUUUACACUCAACAGAGAGUGCUUUCCAAUAAUGACUUUUCAAAGAGAGGCACUUAUGAGAUAACCCUUUGACCCCUUAUCCUGUUUGUCAUUCUACUUAAUGACUCAUCCAGAAAGAAGAUGAAUACACGACUAUGACAACUAUUACGACAGCAGACUGUAUUGAAGAUGUCUCCAGUCAAUGUACAUCUACAUUACAUUUGCUCUCUUUGGCUGUGAUUUCCAGAACGAUUUAACGACGGGAUAGGAGCCAUCAUAAGGAAUUAGCUUCAAAUGUUUGCAGGAUGUCUUGGGGCUUUGAAUGAAGAUGUGUUAAUCUUGGUUUUUCCACACUUUUUAUCACAAAUAUCCUAUCUGAACCAAUACAUUUUGAAUGUUGGAAUAAUAGGGUGGUAUCAUAGGAUCUGACUUGAUUUAAAGAGUGAAUCAUUAUCGGAAAUUCCUAGUCUUUUCUCUACUCUAGGCUAUCCCAUAAGGACAUGUGAAAAAGCACUGACAAAUGACUGCUUGUGCAAAUCCAAUUUAUGAUGCCACUACAGGGUAGUGUAUUGUCUCCAUGUGUGUAAUGCCUCAUCCCACUGCAAUAAAAAUGAAACAAAAGUCAACGCUUUUCCCAAAAGGGUGAUCCGUG
ensembl:lncRNA